rnacentral:tRNA from 7 species
GGAGCUAUAGCAAAGCUGGUAAUGCCCCGGAUUGCAAAUCCGGUAUGCGUUGGUUCGAGUCCGACUAGCUCCUCCA